rnacentral:rRNA from 1 species
CUGCGGCGGCUACCAUGCAGUCGAGCGGUAGAAGGAGCUUGCUUUUUUGAUACCGGCGCACGGGUGAAUAACGCGUAUGCGACCUACCUUAUACAGGGGAAUAGCCCGAAGAUUUCGGAUUAAUGCUCCAUGGUUUAUCGAGUGGCAUCGUAUUGAUAAUAAAGAUUUAUCGGUUUAAGAUGGGCAUGCGUAUCAUUAGCUAGUUGGUGUGGUAACGGCAUACCAAGGCAACGAUGAUUAGGGGUCCUGAUAGGAAAAUCCCCCACACUGGUACUGAGACACGGACCAGACUCCUACCCUACGCAGCAGUGAGGAAUAUUGGUCAAUGGAGGCAACUCUGAACCAGCCAUGCCGCGUGCAGGAUGACGGUCCUAUGGAUUGUAAACUGCUUUUGUACAGGAAGAAACCUCCCUACAAGUAGGGACUUGACGGUACUGGAAGAAUAACGAUCAGCUAACUCCGUGCCAGCCCCCGCGGUAAUACGGAGGAUCCGAGCGUUAUCCGGAAUUAUUGGGUUUAAAGGGUUCGUAAGCGGCUUUAUAAGUCCGUGUUGAAAUUACCUAGCUUAACUAAGACACUGCCAUUGAUACUGUCUAACUUGAAUAGUAUGGAAGUAACUAGAAUAUGUAGUGUAUCCAUGAAAUGCUUAGAUAUGACAUGAAAUACCAAUUGCGAAGGCUGGUUACUACGUACUUAUUGACGCUGAUGAACGAAAGCGUGCGGAGCGAACAGGAUUAGAUACCCUGGUAGUCCACGCCGUACACGAUGGAUACUAUCUGUUCGGUUUUCGUACUGACUGG